GUGUCAGCCGCCGCGGUAAUACGUAGGGUGCGAGCGUUAAUCGGAAUUACUGGGCGUAAAGCGUGCGCAGGCGGUUCGUGAUGUCUGAUGUGAAAGCCCCGGGCUCAACCUGGGAAUUGCAUUGGAAACUAGCGGGCUGGAGUGUGGCAGAGGGGGGUGGAAUUCCACGUGUAGCAGUGAAAUGCGUAGAGAUGUGGAGGAACACCGAUGGCGAAGGCAGCCCCCUGGGCUAACACUGACGCUCAUGCACGAAAGCGUGGGGAGCAAACAGGAUUAGAAACCCGCGUAGUCC
rnacentral:rRNA from 1 species